rnacentral:misc_RNA from 1 species
GAUGAAGAACGCAGCAAAAUGCGAUAAGUAAUGUGAAUUGCAGAAUUUCGUGAAUCAUCAAAUCUUUGAACGCACAUUGCGCCUUCUGGUAAUCCGGGAGGCAUGCCUGUCUGAGCGUCAUUACACCAUUCAAGCCUUUUUGUUUUUGUUAACUUUAGUGGCUUGGUUUUGGAAGUAGAUGAGAUUGUAAGAUCGAGUCUCUUUUGUAAUGUAUUGACGAGUAUCUAUUGUCUUAGUUGUCGCAAAAAAACUGUCAACUUCAAGAUAGUAGAUAAGUCGAGUCACCCUUUUUGUUUCGUCUUCUUUGGAAGACUAUCAAAAGUUUGACCUCAGAUCAGGUAGGAAUACCCGCUGAACUUAAGCAUAUCAAUAAGCGGAGUA